UGCCUUGCACUUUAUCCUCCUAGAAGAG
rnacentral:piRNA from 1 species